rnacentral:rRNA from 1 species
CCAUGCAUGUCUCAGUAUAAGCUUCUAUACGGCGAAACUGCGAAUGGCUCAUUAAAACAGUUAUAGUUUAUUUGGUGGUCAGCAAUUACAUGGAUAACCGUGGUAAUUCUAGAGCUAAUACAUGCGYCCAAACCCGACUUCGUGGAAGGGUUGUGUUUAUUAGAUACAGAACCAACCCAGGCUCCGCCUGGCCUUGAGGUGAUUCAUAAUAACCGAACGAAUCGCAUGGCUAUGCCGGCGAUAGACCAUUCAAGUUUCUGACCUAUCAACUAUCGUCGGUAGGGUAUUGGCCUACCGUGGCAAUGACGGGUAACGGAAAAUUAGGGUUCGAUUCCGGAGAGGGAGCCUGAAAAACGGCUACCACAUCUAAGGAAGGCAGCAGGCGCGCAAAUUACCCAAUCCUGACGCAGGGAGGUAGUGACAAGAAAUAACAAUACAGGGCAUACAUGUCUUGUAAUUGGAAUGAGUAAACUUUAAAUCACUUUACGAGUAUCAAUUGGAGGG